rnacentral:tRNA from 1 species
CUGGAGUAGCUCAGUUGGUUAGAGCGUGUGGCUCUUAACCACAAGGUCAGAGGUUUGACCGCUCUCUCUAG